rnacentral:misc_RNA from 1 species
UGGACUUCCAAGUUUCUCACUUGACAGAUGAAGCAUUCGAUUCUCGCCUAUCAAAUGCAUCAUAUCUUGUACAGAAAUUGUUAAAAGAAGCUAGUAAUGAUACUGUAAGAUGUCCUUACUUGGCGAAUAUUGAAAUCGAAAGAAGAAAGCUUCUACAUGGAAAAGGUGAUGCAGAUAAGUUGGUCGAGGCUUUGGUACAAUAUUUUUUGAGGUAUGGGCAUUUGGCUUGUUUUGCUUCUGAUGUUGAAAUAUUUGUACACACUCUGGAUCUUGAUAAGAGGACACAACUUCUGGAUAAGCUGAGGGAAUGCUGUGAGUCUAUUCCAACUAAUCCCAGAAAGACUCUUGGACAACAUAUUACUGUCUUCAAAAUCCAAAAUAUUGUUGGCAGCAUGCUCACUCUUUCCAUUAAUGAGCUGGAGACAACAGCUGUUA